GUCAAAUGUACCUUCUCUACGUGUUCAGUCGCAUGCCAAAUUUCACCAAAAUAUCGUUCGUCGUUACGUGAAUCUGAGCCGAAAGGAAAUCAUCGUUAUAUCGUGAUGAUCACCUACAAUGAUCGGAGUGACAGAAAGUGAAUAAAACUAUCAAAUCAGACGAGAUCUCACGAUCUAAUUGAGUCGUCAAGUGAUACCACAUGAUUAAUAAAUUACACUAGUUAUUCGGAAGGCCAAGCAAAUCGUGGGGCAAUUAAUUCGUUCUGUUAUGUGUCCUUCCCAUGACGUAUAUUCAUCCAAAAACAUGGGAUCGGAACAAGGCCAGGAACUUGAGCAGAAAUAUGGCGAUAAUUUCAGGUGCGUGCAACACAUAUUUAAUUAAUUCGCAUGCCUCUUCAUCUUCGGAGCAGAUCAGCGAUCACGUAAUGCUCUGUUCAUGUUUGCCAGACUCAUUAGAUUUGAAUUUUGUUGCUGAUGUCAUGUUUAC
rnacentral:misc_RNA from 1 species